UGCACAAGUAUUAAAGGUGAUGCCUGCCCAGUGACUUAUUAAACGGCCGCGGGAUCCUCCACCGUGCAAAGGUAGCAUAAUCACUUGUCCUCUAAAUAAGGACUAGUAUGAAUGGCCACAUGAAGAUUUUCCUGUCUUUUGUAGAAAAUCUAUGAAACUGAUCUUCCAGUACAAAAGCUGAAAUUAUUUCACAAGACGAAAAGACCCUGUGGAACUUUAAACGGCAAUCACCAUUAAUGAUUUACCCGCUUUCAGUUGGGGCAACUAUGGAAAUAAACUAAACUUCCACCACUACAUGCAGGCGGACACGCCAGUAUUUUAUCCUUCACCAAGACCCAGUACUUUACUGAAAAAAGAACCAAGCUACCCCAGGGAUAACAGCGCCAUCCUCUCUUAGAGCCCCCAUCGACGAGAGGGUUUACGACCUCGAUGUUGGAUCAGGGCCCCCAAACAGUGCAGCAGCUGUUAAUGGUUUGUUUGUUCAACAAUUAAUGCCCUACGUGAUCUGAGUUAAGACCGGAGCAAUCC
rnacentral:rRNA from 1 species